rnacentral:rRNA from 1 species
UACGGAGGGUGCAAGCGUUAUCCGGAUUCACUGGGUUUAAAGGGUGCGUAGGUGGGCAGGUAAGUCAGUGGUGAAAUCUCCGAGCUUAACUCGGAACUGCCGUUGAUACUAUUGUCUUGAAUAUUGUGGAGGUAAGCGGAAUAUGUCAUGUAGCGGUGAAAUGCUUAGAUAUGACAUAGAACACCAAUUGCGAAGGCAGCUUACUACACAACGAUUGACGCUGAGGCACGAAAGCGUGGGAUCAAACAGG